UUGCCUGACCAUCUUCAGCAGCACAUAUACUAAAAUUGGAAUGAUACAGAGAAGAUUAGCAUGGUCCCUGCACAAGGAUGACAUGCAAAUUGGCAGGAGGGAUAGCUCACUGGU
rnacentral:snRNA from 1 species